AUGCUCAUCCCGCCGCCGCGCCCUCGCGGACUCCUCCAAGCGCGUCGGGGGCCGUCCCUGACAGUUGCCUGCCAGUUCGCCUCGGUCGAUCCCGCCGGCCCUUCCCCCGGAGGCACGGGCCGCAAGCUCUUAGUGGACAGGGUGCCCGCCCGCACCUCGAUCGACGAGCUGAGGAGGUUCUUCUCCGAGUUCGGAGAGAUCGAGGCAGGAUCCCUCGUUGCUGACCACGCAACCGGCAGUUCUGUGGGUACGCAACCUUCCUCUACAAGUCUCCGGAGGGGAUCGCCAAGGGGCUUGAGGAGCCCAGGAAGGUGUUCGACGGGUGCGAGCUCCAUUGCAGGCACGCACAGAGGCAGACCAAGAGGAAGUGUGCCACUGCCGCACCUGAAGACAGCGGUUGCCAGAUAA
rnacentral:rRNA from 1 species